rnacentral:rRNA from 1 species
AAAGGAACGCUGGCAGCGUGCAUAACACAUGCAAGUCGAACGAUGACAAAUUCUUAGGGAUUUUGAAGAGUGGCGAACGGGUGAGGAACACGUAAGAAUCUGCCCCUCGGUCGGGGACAACUUUUGGAAACAAAAGCUAAUACCCGAUAUGCUGUGGAGUGAAAGAAUCUCGCCGAGGGAUGAUCUUGCGUCUGAUUAGCUAGUUGGUAUGGUAAUGGCAUACCAAGGCGACGAUCAGUAGCUGGUCUGAGAGGAUGAACAGCCACAUUGGAACUGAGACACGGUCCAAACUCCUACGGGAGGCAGCAGUGGGGAAUUUUCCGCAAUGGACGAAAGUCUGACGGAGCGACGCUGCGUGAAGGAUGAAGGCCCGCGGGUUGUAAACUUCUUUUCUCGAAGAAGAAGCUCUGACGGUAUUCGAGGAAUAAGCAUCGGCUAACUCCGUGCCAGCAGCCGCGGUAAGACGGAGGAUGCAAGUGUUAUUCGGAAUGAUUGGGCGUAAAGAGUCUGUAGGCGGUAUGGAAAGUCUUUUGUUAAAUUCCUCGGCUCAA